GAUGAACGCUGGCGGCGUGCUUAACACAUGCAAGUCGAACGGGAAACCUUUUAUUGAAGCUUCGGCAGAUUUAGCUGGUUUCUAGUGGCGGACGGGUGAGUAACGCGUGGGUAACCUGCCUUAUACAGGGGGAUAACAGUCAGAAAUGGCUGCUAAUACCGCAUAAGCGCACAGAGCUGCAUGGCUCAGUGUGAAAAACUCCGGUGGUGUAAGAUGGACCCGCGUUGGAUUAGCUGGUUGGUGGGGUAACGGCCCACCAAGGCGACGAUCCAUAGCCGGCCUGAGAGGGUGAACGGCCACAUUGGGACUGAGACACGGCCCAGACUCCUACGGGAGGCAGCAGUGGGGAAUAUUGCACAAUGGGGGAAACCCUGAUGCAGCGACGCCGCGUGAAGGAAGAAGUAUCUCGGUAUGUAAACUUCUAUCAGCAGGGAAGAUAAUGACGGUACCUGACUAAGAAGCCCCGGCUAACUACGUG
rnacentral:rRNA from 1 species